UUCACGAUGAACGAUGGCUGUAUGUCGGACACAUGCUACUUUUACGAAUAGGUUAACGGGUUUAGUGGAAAAACGGGUGACUAGGGGUGGAGAAUCUGCAUUAAGGUUUGGGACAAAAGGUGGAAACGGCUGCUAAUAACCUAUAUGUACUUCAGAGAAAGGAGUUAAUCUCGGGAUUUUGAUGAUGUCAUGUGUGAUGAGCUAGUUGGUGGGGGAAGAGCCUACUAUGGCUAGUAUGAUGAGCUGGGUUGAGAGAAUUGUAAGACGUGUUGGGACUGAGACACGGGGGAGACUCUUACGGGAGGUAAUAGUGAGGAAUUUUCGGUUUGGGGCGAAAGGUUGACGGAGAGUGACCCACUUAGGGAGGAAGGCUCUUGGGUUGGAAACCUCUGGGGGGGGAGAAUAAUAAUGACUGUAUCUGAGCAAUAUGAAUCCGGUAAUUCCCUGCCUGUGGUCGGGGUAAUACAGAGGAUGUAUGCGUUAUUCAGAAUGAUUGACAUGACAGGGCCUGUAGGUGGUUGUUCAAGUCUGCUGUAUAAGCCUCUGGCCUACCCAGAUAGAGGGGGUCGAAACUGAAUCACUUGAGUUUAAUAUUUGUAG
rnacentral:rRNA from 1 species